rnacentral:lncRNA from 1 species
ACUCGGCAAACAUCUUGUUCGGACUACUCUCUUGUAACUCCACUUGAUUAAUAUCUGCUUUUGUUAAUCUGUUACUUAACUUCAUUGUAAUCAUUUCGCUCUGCUAUCUGUUUUCAGUCCUUCUUAUUGAAUAAAGCUGGGUGGCUUUGUAUUUUCUGAGCCUCCCGAUACAACGUCCAAAAAAUAAAUAAAAAAAAAAAACCAAAGAGAAGCUGGAUAAUAAUAUAAAAUACAAUAGACAUAAAUCCAUAGACGGA